CAAAGGUAGCAUCCGCUGUCGGACAGCCUGAAAGCAACAAGCUUGACUGGACGAAACGCUCACUGCUGCAGUGUCGUGCACUCUGAUUUGACUGGAAUAGCAACAAAACGAGCAUAUUUAAUCCUCACUAAGCGUUGUGUAGGCUGCUUGUAAGGACACCUGCAGUGGUCAAAGUCCGGACUCUCCGUGGCAGGGCAUAUCAUCCCUGGAAGAAGAAACCAUUUACGUAUCGAGGAAAACAAUCUGCACUUUCAGAGUUGAACUGGAGGAAGGAAGAUGUCGGCGGUUUAUAAAGAUGCCCAGGAGGACUGGCUGAUGGUGUGUCUCAAGUACCUGCUCUUUGUUUUCAACUUUCUCUUCUGGGUGGGUGGAGCAGCUGUUUUGGGUGUAGGAGUCUGGACACUGGUGGAGAAGAGCGACUACUUGAGCCUGCUGGCCUCCAGCACUUUUGCUGUAUCAGCGUAUAUCCUCAUCCUGGCCGGCAGCCUGGUGGUGGUUACGGGCUUCUUGGGCUGUUGUGCUGUCAUCCGGGAGCAGAGAAGCUGUCUAUCCAUGUAUUUCUUCUGCCUGCUGGUGAUCUUCUUGAUUGAACUGGUGGCUGGAGUGCUGGCUUAUGUCUAUUACCAGAGGCUGAGUGAGGAGCUGAAGCAACAUCUCAACCAGACUAUGACAGACAACUACGCUCAACCAGGGAAGGAGGCCAUCACAUUAGCUGUGGACAGACUACAACAGGAUUUCAAGUGCUGUGGCAGCAACACCUCCCAUGAUUGGAUGGUGAGUGCAUACAUUUCAUCAAAGGUGGCAGAAGGCAGGCUGGUGCCCGACAGCUGCUGUAAGACAGUUACCCUUUAUUGUGGCAAGAGAGACCACCCCUCCAACAUCUACAAGGUGGAGGGUGGUUGCAUCACCAAGCUGGAGCAGUUUCUGGCUGACCACCUGUUGGUCAUUGGUGCUGUGGGAAUAGGAGUGGCUUGUCUGCAGCUGGCCGGUGCAGUCUUGACAGCCUGCUUUAUCUAUCUGCUCUAUAAAGAAGAGGAAGACGACUUCGGUGCAUUGUGAUUUAGUUCAACAGCGUCUUUGUGGUUUAAUCAACUGGAGAUUUGAGGUUGGAGGAUCUGUGGGAUGGUGUUCACCAGCUGCUUGUACAAAAGGAUCAAGAUGGACCCUUACUAAGUACACCAGGCCCCCCUGACACACCACCUUCAACAGGCAGACGGAACAAUGACCUGCUGACACCUUAACUUCAACCUCUGAAUCUUGAACCCUGACCUGGUGAUCUAAUCCAAAUGCACAGACCCAUUCCAGGUCCAUCACAGUCAGAAACAAAUUGUGCCAUUGACCAACCUCUUGUACAGUAUUGUAGUGUACUGUAUGUUACAAUGUACUUUAUGUACAUUCAUAUAUUUGUGAUACCUGACUGAUCCAAGCCUACUGGAACAACAUGUCUGUUUGCGUCAUUGCCUUGGCUUGGAUGCAUGCUUUAGUUUGAGCAGGACGAAAGAAAGGGACAUACAUUCCCAUAAUGCAUUCUACUCUGUUCAACUACUGAUGAUCUGAUGUUCUCACUGUGCAGAAAUUUAUAGUAGUGUGUUUUUUGGGCCAUUCUAGUACUUGAGUAAGGGCACAGUGUAAAAGGGCAAAGUGUAUGCUGGUGUCAUUUGAUGAAGAAAGGUAAUUUAUGGUAAUAUCUUUUGUGAACACAAUGUACCUCUUUCACAAUUCUGCUGUUAAAUAAUUACGUAUUAAUUCUGUGGCUGAAAUCUUUUAAAGGGAGCUGACUGCGCUGUUUUAAACGGCAGCAAAUUAACUCAAGUUUACAACUCUUUACAUUUUUACUGAUGUCUAUAUUCCUGAGCACUGAAUGGUGAACUGUAGCAUAGUUAUUUAAAUGAACUGAACACCAAUGGUAACAAUCAAGUGUAUGGCUACAAACAAUAAGGUCUUCCCAGACAGUCUAUUAAGUAAAUGAAAGUCAUUUUCUCAAAAGGUUGCCAGAUCCCUGAAUGUAUAGCUCCAUCUAGUGGUUGGCACUGCCCAUAUAUCAUGUGUGUGAUGUUAUAACUGUAUGCUGCACUUGUGUUCUGAUACCAUAGUAUGAAAUUCAGAAUUUCACAAUACAUCAGUAUGAAGUAUUUAUCUUAAUAUGUAACACUAAAGAUACAUAUAUACAUGUCAGACGCUAGAUUGUAACAUUAACACACAUUGCCUUCUCUGAAUUUUAGACUUUAUUUUCAUACUUUCCAAGACACACUGAGGAUUUAUUCUCUACAGUGAAGAAGCUGACUUCUACUAUAGAAAGCUUUUGGUUUUUCUUUACUGCUUAAUUUAUCACUUGCCUUCCUCCAUAGCUAUUACAUAAUUAACAAUGAGUGGCCUUGUUGCCAGUAUUCUUUAGAGGUGGUAAGUCUUGGCUUUACUCUUGUGGAUCAUUAAGUAAGUAAUAAAUAUGUACUGUCUGGAAACAGCUGUUUCUGUUUCAAAGAUGAAAAAGUGAAAUAUCUAUUUAAUUUUUCUGUUCAUUUAAAUCCUUUACAACUAACACCUUUGCGAAGACUACUCUGUAAGGGGACCUCCAUAGAAUUUUUAAAAAUAAUUUCCCCCUGAUUUGACUUACAAAAGAAGGGUGCUAAUGUCUGUGUAUAUAUUGUUGUUGAUAGGAUGAUGAAAAAACAUAACCAUGUGCUCCAACUACUAAUUGUGCUAUUGAAAAGAUUGAUAUAAAACUCAAAUAAAUAUUGUCGCAUUAUA